GGGGUUAUGGCUUGAUGGUAGAGCAACUGUUUUGCAUGCAAAGGGUCCCAGGUUCAAUCCCCAGCAUCUCCA
rnacentral:tRNA from 1 species